UGUGUGUUCUGCUCUGAGCACGAAACAGUAGACCACCUAUUUUUCGAAUGUGUGGUUGCUAGGAAACUCUGGAGUGAUAUAUCAACUUUCUUUUCUAUGGAUUUAGGGGCUAACUACUUCUCCAUUGCCAGAUUUUGGCCGACUAACAAGAAACAUGCAGCUAUGAAUGCUUUUGGGGCUUGUGUCUUGUGGAGCUUGUGGAAAAAUAGAAAUAAUCAUGUUUUUAAUAAUGUUGUCUAGUCUGACUUGAAGCAGAUAUGGUGGCAAGUCUGGAGGAUGCUCAAAAGAUGGGUGAUACUAUACAAAGGGGAGUCGUUGGAGAUGAUGCAGAAAAUCUCGCUCUGGAUAUCCAACAUCCUAGCUGCACCCUUCCAGUUGACAGUGGGGUGA
rnacentral:rRNA from 1 species